GGAGGGAUGGCCGAGUGGACGAAGGCGGCGGUCUUGAAAACCGCUGUGGGGUCACACCCACCGUGGGUUCGAAUCCCACUCCCUCCG
rnacentral:tRNA from 1 species